GAUGAACGCUAGCUACAGGCUUAACACAUGCAAGUCGAGGGGUAACGAGAGGAAAGCUUGCUUUCCUUGUCGACGACCGGCGCACGGGUGAGUAACGCGUAUCCAACCUGCCCCCAACUAGGGAAUAACCUUGCGAAAGUAAGACUAAUACCCUAUAAUUUCCUCAGAUGUCAUCUGACGAGGAAUAAAGAUUUAUCGGUUGUGGAUGGGGAGGCGUCUGAUUAGCUUGUUGGCGGGGUAACGGCCCACCAAGGCAACGAUCAGUAGGGGUUCUGAGAGGAAGGUCCCCCACAUUGGAACUGGGACACGGUCCAAACUCCUACGGGAGACAGCAGUGAGGAAUAUUGGUCAAUGGGCGGAAGCCUGAACCAGCCAAGUAGCGUGCAGGAUGACGGCCCUAUGGGUUGUAAGCUGCUUUUAUACAGGAAUAAAGUUAGCCACGUGUGGUUAUUUGUAGGUACUGUAUGAAUAAGGACCGGCUAAUUCCGUGUCAGCAGCCGCAGUAA
rnacentral:rRNA from 1 species